CCUGGCCACCCUGCCAGGGGUCAGUGUCCUCUUCAGUGACAAAAGCCGCCCUAGAUCUGGGCUCCCUGGGGAGGGAGGUGGUUGGGUCUGGCAGUUGGAGCCGCUGUCUCUCCAUGGUGCUGCUGCAGCCCUUCCCCCCGCUGGGCACACAAAUGGGCUUUAUCCAGCAAACAAAACCACCCCCCACCCAGGCCGCACAGGCACGUGGACCCAGGCCUCACCGUGGGAAGGGGGUGGUGACAGGCGCAGAAGAAAGAGAUCUCUCCAAACAAGUUCUCUUCGCCUCACUUCUCUUCCUUAUUUUCCACAAUCCAGAUUUCAGUCCUUGACUUCUUCCCCUCCACCCGCACCCUGAGUCUCCCAACUCCUUCUGGUUACCUCGGUCCUGACUCUGGACUCUUCCUGGGCAGCUCACAUUCUGCAGCGGAUUGGAAGCAGAUCCUCCCAGGGAAAAAGCCAGAUGGAGAAUGAGAACCCAGGGUCCCCCAAGGGGGCUGGAUGAGACCCCCAGGGACUGGACCCCCGAGCCCUCCUUUCCUGCCUCCACCCACUCCAGGGGACACCCUUCUGAACAGUGUCUGUGUGAAUAGCAAAGGAAGGAAGAGCUCACCCCAGCUGGGCUCCUGAGCCAGGGCCAGGGCUCCUGUGAAACCCGCCGCGUGCGCUCCGCUCUGAGCUGGGCCAUCCUGCAUGCUUAAUGGGCUAUUUAAGGAGUUGUUCGCCAGCAACCCAGUCAACCCCCCCUCCCCACGUACACCCGUCCAGAGCCACCUUAAAAGCAGGAGGCAGUUGUGAAGUUGCUGGCCAGCAAGUGGAGUGAAGACUGCAGAAGGAGAUAAAAAAGAAAGAGGGCAGCAAAAGAUUUGUCCUGGACACCCAGAAACUCACGGUCCCCCACUGAAAACCAAAUCCCCUGGAAGCCUGCAGAGACACAAAGACAGCACGAGAAACAGAGAUAAAUACACUCAGCCUCAGGAAACUCCUCUUCUCUCUCUCUCUCUUUCCCUCUCUCUCUCACCUCCCAGCCCUCUCCCUACCCUAGUCCUCUGGUCUCCAAACUCCUAGUACCUUGUGCUCCCUCCGGAAAUACCAUGUUGGUCUUCAUCCUCCUGCUAAAGGUGAUGUGGAUCCUGGCUGCAGAAGACGGUCAACACUGGACAUAUGAGGGUGAGAGCAGAACUCAAGGCCUACCGACACCCCUUCCGCCCCGGGACCUCUUCACCUGGUGGGAAGACUUACGCCAUGUGGGCCCACACGGUCAAGACCAUUGGCCAGCCUCUUACCCUGAAUGUGGAAGCAAUGCCCAGUCCCCCAUCAAUAUCCAGACAGACAGUGUGACUUUUGACCCUGAGUUGCUACCUCUGCAACCCCAUGGAUAUGAACAGCCUGGCACCGAGCCUUUGGACCUGCACAAUAAUGGCCACACAGUGCAACUCUCACUGCCUCCUACCCUACAUCUGGAAGGACUGCCCCGAAAAUAUGUAGCUGCCCAGCUCCACCUGCACUGGGGUCAGAAAGGAUCCCCAGGGGGCUCAGAGCACAAGAUCAACGGCGAAGCUACCGCUGCAGAGCUCCACAUCGUACAUUAUGAUUCUGAGUCCUACGCUAGCUUGAGUGAAGCUGCUCAGCAGCCCCAAGGCCUGGCUGUCUUGGGCAUCCUCGUUGAGGUGGGCGAGACUGAAAACCCAGCUUAUGAACACAUUCUGAGUCACCUGCAUGAAAUUAGGCACAAAGGUGAGCCCUACAAAUCUAUCUUAAGAUCAAGUAACAUUAGACUUCAGGGAAACUUCUCAGAAAAGGCCUCAGAGGCCUGGAAUGAGGCAGAGUUAGGGACCAGGGGGGUUCACUUCUGGGAGCCCUGUCUAGUGAGCUCGGGUGCAGGGAGGGCGAGACGAGUCCUAGUCUGUUCUCACCCAGAUCAGAGGACCUCAGUGCCCCCCUUCAAUGUGAGAGGGCUGCUCCCGCCCCUGCUGGCGCAGUUCUUCCGUUACAAUGGCUCACUCACUACACCGCCCUGCUACCAGAGUGUGCUCUGGACAGUCUUCAAUCGAAGGGCCCAGAUUUCAAUGGGACAGGUGAGUGGUGGAGAGGUGAGACUGCACAGACAUAGCUGUCACCGCAAACUCUCUCCCACUCCCCCAAGCAAGUACCACUUGUCCCUUAACCCCACUCUUUCUCUCCUCAGCUGGAAAAGCUUCAGGAGGCAUUGUUCUCCACCGAAGAGGAGCCGUCUCAGCUCCUGGUACAGAACUACCGAGCCCCCCAGCCUCUCAACCAGCGAAUAGUCUUGGCUUCUUUCAUCCAAGUGGGAUCCUUGUACACCACAGGGGAAAUGCUGAGUCUGGGAGUGGGAAUCUUGGUUGGCUGCCUCUGCCUUCUGCUGGCUGUUUAUUUCAUCGCUAGAAAGAUUCGGAAGAAGAGACUGGGAAACCGGAAAAGUGUGGUGUUCACCUCAGCACGGGCCGCCGAGGCAUAGGCUCCCUCUCGGACACCAGAGAUGCCUUCCCCUCACCUAUCAGGGAGCUUCUCAAGUGGGUGCAGGGACUGGCCCAAAAGCCCUGUAAUGGGCCAGCACUCCUCCUUCCUCCAGACAGCCCCUGCACGGAGGUACGGACAGGCUCUCCGAGGAAGAACAACAGAGCUUCCAGCCUCACAAAACAUGUAGAUAAGGAGAGCCCCAUGCUGACAGUGCAGAGGGCAAACUGUGUUUAGAUGUAGCGGAAGCUGGGCAUGUGGCCCAGGGUCCUCACCCCCUCUUCUUUAUCCCUCUGUCCCUAGAAACAGUGCAGGAUCUCCCCCUAGGAAAAAGGGAUGCUGCUAUCAUGCUGUGGUUUUUUGCUCAAUGUAUUUGGAAUUAAAGUUUCUGACCCCA